GAAUGAUCUACUAAGAUAAGCAGUGAGUGAGCAGUCAUUCCAGAGAGCAAGCGAAACUGAAAGUCGCGACUGAUGAAAACUGAACCUGUUUAGAACAAUCAAUACAACAAAGAUGUUUAUUAUAUUAUUAUUACUUGUCUUAAUUGGGUAUUUGACAUAUCUUUAUUACGUGCAAUAUGGACCCAAUGGACGAUUAAUCAAUAAAAUACCAGGACCACCAGGUUAUCCAAUUAUUGGUAAUAUAUUGUUAAUUUGGAAAAAUUCACACGAGGGUAUCUGGAAGGUAUACAUUAAUCUAAUACUGUCUCAUUCCUUU